rnacentral:rRNA from 1 species
UAGGGAAUCUUCCGCAAUGGACGCAAGUCUGACGGAGCAACGCCGCGUGAGUGAAGAAGGAUUUCGGUUCGUAAAACUCUGUUGUUAGAGAAGAACAGCGCAUAGAGUAACUGUUAUGCGUGUGACGGUAUCUAACCAGAAAGCCACGGCUAACUACGUGCCAGCAGCCGCGGUAAUACGUAGGUGGCAAGCGUUGUCCGGAUUUAUUGGGCGUAAAGCGAGCGCAGGCGGUCAAUUAAGCCUGAUGUGAAAGCCCCCGGCUCAACCGGGGAGGGUCAUUGGAAACUGGUUGACUUGAGUGCAGAAGAGGAGAGUGGAAUUCCAUGUGUAGCGGUGAAAUGCGUAGAUAUAUGGAGGAACACCAGUGGCGAAGGCGACUCUCUGGUCUGUAACUGACGCUGAGGCUCGAAAGCGUGGGGAGCGAACAGG